CAACCUCAACUCAUAUGGGACUACCCCCUGAAUUUAAGCAUAUUAAUUAGGGGAGGAAAAGAAACUAACCAGGAUUUUCUUAGUAGCGGCGAGCGAAAAGAAAUCAGUUCAGCACUAAGUCACUUUGUCUAUAUGGCAAACGUGAGAUGCAGUGUAUGGAGCGUCAAUAUUCUAGUAUGAGAAAUUAACGAUUUAAGUCCUUCUUAAAUGAGGCCAUUUACCCAUAGAGGGUGCCAGGCCCGUAUAACGUUAAUGAUUACUAGAUGAUGUUUCCAAAGAGUCGUGUUGCUUGAUAGUGCAGCACUAAGUGGGUGGUAAACUCCAUCUAAAACUAAAUAUAACCAUGAGACCGAUAGUAAACAAGUACCGUGAGGGAAAGUUGAAAAGAACUCUGAAUAGAGAGUUAAACAGUACGUGAAACUGCUUAGAGGUUAAGCCCGAUGAACCUGAAUAUCCGUUAUGGAAAAUUCAUCAUUAAAGUUGUAAUAUUUUAACAAUAUUAUAAUAAUAGUGUGCAUUUUUUCCAUAUAAGGGACAUUGUAAUCUAUUAGCAUAUAACAAAUUUAUCAUAAAAUAUGACUUAUAGUUUAUUCAAAUUAUUAUGCUUGCAUUUUAACAUAGAAUAAAUGUCAUUAAUUUGAUAAAAGUGUUGAUAAAUUAAAAUUAAUACAGUGCGUUAAUUUUUCGAAAUUAUAUAAUGGCAUAAUUAUCAUUGAUUUUUGUGUUUAUUAUAUGCAUUUGUAUGAUUAACAAUGCGAAAGAUUCAGGAUACCUUCGGGACCCGUCUUGAAACACGGACCAAGGAGUCUAACAUAUGUGCAAGUUAUUGGGAGAUAAACCUAAUAGCGUAAUUAACUUGACUAAUAAUGGGAUUAGUUUUUUAACUAUUUAUAGAUAAUUAACACAAUCCCGGGGCGUUCUAUAUAGUUAUGUAUAAUAAUAUUUAUAUUAUUUAUGCCUCUAACUGGAACGUACCUUGAGCAUAUAUGCUGUGACCCGAAAGAUGGUGAACUAUACUUGAUCAGGUUGAAGUCAGGGGAAACCCUGAUGGAAGACCGAAACAGUUCUGACGUGCAAAUCGAUUGUCAGAAUUGAGUAUAGGGGCGAAAGACCAAUCGAACCAUCUAGUAGCUGGUUCCUUCCGAAGUUUCCCUCAGGAUAGCUGGUGCAUUUUAAUGUUAUAUAAAAUAAUCUUAUCUGGUAAAGCGAAUGAUUAGAGGCCUUAGGGUCGAAACGAUCUUAACCUAUUCUCAAACUUUAAAUGGGUAAGAACCUUAACUUUCUUGAUAUGAAGUUUAAGGUUAUGAUAUAAUGUGCCCAGUGGGCCACUUUUGGUAAGCAGAACUCAUGGAAGUCGAAAUCCGCUAAGGAGUGUGUAACAACUCACCUGCCGAAGCAACUAGCCCUUAAAAUGGAUGGCGCUUAAGUUGUAUACCUAUACAUUACCGCUAAAGUAGAUGAUUUAUAUUACUUGUGAUAUAAAUUUUGAAACUUUAGUGAGUAGGAAGGUACAAUGGUAUGCGUAGAAGUGUUUGGCGUAAGCCUUCAUGGAGCUGCCAUUGGCACAGAUCUUGGUGGUAGUAGCAAAUAAUCGAAUGAGACCUUGGAGGACUGAAGUGGAGAAGGGUUUCGUGUGAACAGUGGUUGAUCACGAGUUAGUCGGUCCUAAGUUCAAGGCGAAAGCCGAAAAUUUUCAAGUAAAAAAUCAGUGAGUAAUAUUGUCAAAUCUUUUAUGAUUUUUAAAUACUUGAAUAAUUUUGAACGAAAGGGAAUACGGUUCCAAUUCCGUAACCUGUUGAGUAUCCGUUUGUUAUUAAAUAUGGGCCUCGUGCUCAUCCUGGCAACAGGAACGACCAUAAAGAAGCCGUCGAGAGAUAUCGGAAGAGUUUUCUUUUCUGUUUUAUAGCCGUACUACCAUGGAAGUCUUUCGCAGAGAGAUAUGGUAGAUGGGCUAGAAGAGCAUGACAUAUACUGUUGUGUCGAUAUUUUCUCCUCGGACCUUGAAAAUUUAUGGUGGGGACACGCAAACUUCUCAACAGGCCGUACCAAUAUCCGCAGCUGGUCUCCAAGGUGAAGAGUCUCUAGUCGAUAGAAUAAUGUAGGUAAGGGAAGUCGGCAAAUUAGAUCCGUAACUUCGGGAUAAGGAUUGGCUCUGAAGAUUGAGAUAGUCGGGCUUGAUUGGGAAACAAUAACAUGGUUUAUGUGCUCGUUCUGGGUAAAUAGAGUUUCUAUCAUUUAUGGUAGUUACUUGUUCCCCGGAUAGUUUAGUUACGUAGCCAAUUGUGGAACUUUCUUGCUAAAAUUUUUAAGAAUACUAAUUGGGUUAAACCAGUUAGUUCUUAUUAAUUAUAACGAUUAUCAAUUAACAAUCAAUUCAGAACUGGCACGGACUUGGGGAAUCCGACUGUCUAAUUAAAACAAAGCAUUGUGAUGGCCCUAGCGGGUGUUGACACAAUGUGAUUUCUGCCCAGUGCUCUGAAUGUCAAAGUGAAGAAAUUCA
rfam:Drosophila persimilis strain MSH-3 cont1.013211, whole genome shotgun sequence.